GUCAGAAAUAAGCAUUAUAUAACGGUUGGCAGUAAUAUUAGAGUUUAAAACCAGUACAGCUGCAAAGCAUGGACGAGAGAAAAAGCAAAACAUUAUUUAUAAGAAAUUUACCUUUUAGUACGAACAAUGAAAGCUUAGAAAAAACGUUCAGUGAUAUUGGACCACUCAAGCAAUGUUUUGUUGUGAAAAACAAAGGUGAGUAUUGUAAAAGAUGCAUAUAUACACCAUUGUACACAGAUGUUUUAGCUAGUGUUUUGAUGAGUUGCUAAACAAUUUAUUUAUCAAUGAAGACAUAUGGUCUGUGUAAGAUAAUUUGGCUGGUAAUUUAGCUUUAUAAAAUUGCAUCAAUGUUAUUUUAUGAUGUACCAAACUUCCCAAGUGACUAAGUCAAGAUGAUGUCUUAAAGAUAAAAUUAUAGUGUAUUAUUUAUGAGGGUAGGAAUGUUCUUUACUGUCAGGUGUCAAAAAGUCAUUUUCGGCUACGGUUUAGCGUCACAGAAUGGUUAAAUUUUAUCAUACAUGUAAUUCAUCAAAAUAUCCUUAUAAGAGUGAGGGGAGGUAGGAGGGGUCCUGAUCCCCAAAUCCCGAGGUCUCAAAUUUAAAUUUUAAUCCCAAAAUCCCGGGUUACACUAAUGACUGGACCGAAUGACAGGACCAAAUGAAAAAUGCUAAUAACUUUUUCAUUUCUCAAAGGAUUGAACUCAAAUUUGAAAUAAAAUAAGAUUUCAUCAUUUGAUAAAUAGAUUUAAGAAAAAAAAUUAAAAAAAUUGUUAGAAACUUUAGAAAACGUGACAUGACCAACUCUGAUAAUGACAGGACCAACAUCGAGAAUGACAGGACCAAAUAAAAAUGCUAAUAACUUCUUUAUUUUUCAAAGGAAUUAUCUCAGAUUUGAAAUAUAAAAUGUUAUGCCAUAUUUUGAAACUAAAAUGUUAUAAAAAAUAUAAAUUUAUUUUCAAAAACUUUCGAAAACAUGACAUGACCAUCGCUGACUGCCAGGACCAAUCUCGACAAUGACCGGACCAGAUGAAAUUGCUAAUUUCUCUUUUAUUUCUCAAAAUAUUUUUCUGAAAUUUGAAAUAUAAUAAGAUUUCAUCAUUUUAUACAUAGAUUUAAGAAAAAAAAUUAAAAAAAUUGUAAGAAACUUUAGAAAACGUGACAUGACCAACUCUGAUAAUGACAUGACCAACAUCGACAAUGACAGGACAAAAUAAAAAUGCUAAUAACUUUUUUAUUUUUCAAAAGAAUUAUCUAAGAUUUGAAACAUAAAAUGAUAUGUCACAUUUUGAAACAUUUAUGUUAUAAAAAAUAUAGAUUUAUUUUCAGAAACUUUCAAAAACGUGACAUGACCAUCGCUGACUGACAUGACUAACCUCGACAAUGACCGGACCAAAUGAAAUUGCUAAUUAUUCUUUUUUUUUCGCAGAAUAUUUUUCUGAAAUUUUAAAUUACCAUAACAUACAUAAAUAUAAGAAAAAGGUAUAAAAAAGCUUGCUGAAAUGUGACCUGGUUAACGUUGUCAAUAACAGGACAAUCCUCGACAAUUAAUGACAGGACCAAAUAAAAAUGCUAAUUAUGCAUAACAUUUGUCAGAAUAUUCCUCUCAAAUUUAAAAUAAUGACAAUUUAUACCAUUUUGCACAUCAUAUUAGAAAAAUAUAUAAAAAAAAAAACGUAUUGAAAGCUUGCGGUUGUGUGACCUGACCAACAUCAACUACUGAUGAUCUGGCCAAUGAAAAAAUCAAAAUUUCUUUCUUAUUUUAAUGAAAUUGUUCAGUUCUGAUCCAUAAUUAGUAAGAUUAUAUCUUGUAAAUACAGGAAAAUAUAUUCUAUGGUGGUUAAAAAUCUUGACCUAGCUACUUAACGUAUGUUGGCAGAGAGUCACAGGUCAAAAAGACACGAAUUAUCACUAUAUUUAAGAAAGAGAUCUUGAAAUAUUAUGUUAUUACAUAUAAUCAUUUUAUAUAAUAUAUCAGUUCAUUAAACUAUAGAUAAAUUCAGAUUUAUUGAAUUAUCAUCAUAAUAUUUCUUGACAUAAUGAAGCCCAAUUUAAGCCACUUUGGAAAGGUAUCAACCUUUUAAAGUAGUCGUGAAAAGUUUGAUUCAGUGUAUUUUAUGAAAUAUUUAAAACUACCAAGAAAUCAUGCAUGCAAGGGUCGGCACACUUCAAGAAAUGUUUAUUUGUUUAUUAUUACUAUCAAGAUAGACCCUGCAUAUACUCAAACAUACAUGGAAAUAAUUAUUUACUGUUCUGAAAAUAUUAAUAAAACCAACACAUGAACUAUUAUGUGAUUUCAGUUACUGUCAUCACAAUCUUUAUUGGAUUUAUCAACUUAUUUAUGGCUUAUGUCACACCUUUGUUUGUUACCUUAUAAUUAUUUUCAGACGUGUCAGAUUAUGACCGGUAAUUACAAUAUACAAAAUAUUUUAAAUGAAUGAAUGAAUGAUCUUUAUUCUCAUCAAACCAAAUACAUAGUUACAGAGAAGAUAUUACAAUGAUAUAUAUAUAUAACAUAUAUAAGAUAUAGCAUGUGUGAAAUAUCAAUUAAUAUGAUAAAUAUUUACACCAAAGAUAAAUAAACAUAGUUGUACUAACCAGGAGGAUAUACUUCGCAAAAUAGAUUUAAUAAAGCACAAAUUUCUCGCUGAGAAGUGCAAUAUUUCUACAACUCGGUUUAAGUAAUAUUCCAAUAAAAAAAAUCAAUUAACGCGUGGCGUUCGCAGACCUAACGUUUUCCCCAGUUAGCUUUUUUCCCUUAUUUUCUAAAAACUUUUAAAUCAUUCAAUCUUUAAUGGUGUUUUUAAUUAUUAUUAUUAAUUUCAACCUGGAUUUCCAUAGUAGGAACUAUGUUUCACGUUUUCGCAAUAAAAAAAAAAUCUAGAUUUUUCUUUAAUUGAUAUAUUUGAAUCUGACAUAAUUUCUUUUCAAAAUUAAAAGUGAAUAGCAUUUUUAUUUGGUCCUGUCCUUGUCGAGGUUUGUCCUGUCAUUGUCAGCGUUGGUCAGGUCACAUUACAGCAAGCUUUUACUAUUUUUUUCUAUGUUAUUCCUAUCUUUAUGUAUAAAAUGGUUAAAUCUGAUUAUAUCUCAAAUUUCAGAAAAAAAUAUUUUUUAGAAGUAAAAGGUAAUUAGCAAUUUCAUCUGGUCCUAUCAUUGUCGAGGUUGGUCCUGUCAGUCUGCGAUGGUCAUGUCACGUUUAAACUUUCUAUAUUUUUUCUAACAUUAUUUUUUCCAAAAUAUGACAUAUUAUCAGAGACAUAUAAAUGUCUCUGAUUUAUUUAUGAUUUUCAAAUCUAGAUAAUUCUUUUUGAAAAUAAAAAAAGUUAUUAGCAUUUUUAUUUUGUCCUGUCAUUGUCGAUGUUGGUCAUGUCAUUAUCAGAGUUGGUGAUGUCACUUUUUCUAAAGUUUCAUACAAUUUUUUUAAAUUUUUUUUCUUAAAUCUAUGUAUAAAAUGAUGAAAUCUUAUUAUAUUUCAAAUUUCAGAAAAAUAUUUUGAGAAAUAAAAGAGAAAUUAGCAAUUUCAUUUGGUCCGGUCAUUGUCGAGAUUGGUCCUGGCAGUCAGCGAUGGUCAUGUCAUGUUUUUGAAAGUUUUUGAAAAUAACUUAUAUUUUUUAUAACAUUUUAUUUUCAAAAUAUGACAUACCAUUUUAUAUUUCAAAUCUGAGAUAAUUCCUUUGAAAAAUAAAAAAGUUAUUAGCAUUUUUAUUUGGUCCUGUCAUUCUCGAUGUUGGUCCUGUCAUUAUCAGAGUUGGUCAUGUCACAUUUUCUAAAGUUUCUUACAAAUUUUUAAUUUUUUUUUCUUAAAUCUAUUUAUCAAAUGAUGAAAUCUUAUUAUAUUUCAAAUUUGAGUUCACUCCUUUGAGAAAUGAAAAAGUUAUUAGCAUUUUUCAUUUGGUCCUGUCAUUCGGUCCAGUCAUUAGUGUAACCCCAAAAUCCCAAUAUUUGAAAAAUUAAUUCCCAGAUCCCGAAAGGGUCAAUUCCGAAAUCCCGAGCUUAAAAACGCCGAUCCUGGAGUCCUGAAAAAGGUCCUUUCCCCCUCUUAUAAGUUAUAGCAUGUAUAGUGAUUCAUAGAUCUCAAAUAAUUAUCGUUACCAGUAUUUGAUGAACAAUUUAAAUGUGAUUUGUCAAAAUCAGUAAAAAUUUUGUCAUGUUAAAUUAAGUGAACAAUAUAUUAUCAUGCCCCAAAAAAUGUAGAUUUGGUCCUUAUUAAACAUUGUUAAAAGUCAAUUUCGAUCCCAAUUAAAAAAGAAAUAUAAGGAAAAUAAAAACAAAAUGUACUAAAUGUUAAUCAUGUUAAUGGAUUUCAAAAUUGAUAUAAAAUUAUAAAUGAUGUAUGAUGAAAAAUUGUGUUUUUAAAGUAUUAUAUAAAUUGCACAUAGCUGAGAGGGUGAUAGAGCAGAUUGUUACCUUGAGAAAACAUUGUCAACUGGGGAAAGCCAAGAUUGACAAUGCUUUUUCAAGGGGUACCAAUCUCUCUAUCACCCUCUCAGCUAUGUGUUACUUAAAGGGGCACUAGCUACGAGAUAUAUAAAAAAUCUAAAGUUUGAUUUUUUUCUGUUCAAUCAAUAAUGAAAGUGAAAUAGUGAAAUAACAAUUCGCUUUUUGCAGCCAAAAAGGUUCAAUUUUGUCAAAUUACGCUAAGAAACAUUGACAAUUAGUAAUUCACUUGCAAGUGAAUGAGUCGACCUCUUUAAAUCUGUAUUCAUGUGAACUUCAAUUUAACCCUAGCUAGAGAUUGACAAUGCAUGCAUUGUACGUGUACUGGUUAUUUAAAGAAAAAGAAAAUCAACAAUGAAAGUGAAACUAUGGGAAAUCAUUUGAUUACUAAUUAGAUGCACAUAAAAUCAUUCUUAUACGGUUAAAAACAAUGAGAAACAUCUAUUUUUAAUCUAUAAAAUAAAAUCAAACAGACCUAUAAAAAUCCAACUGCACGUGUUGGUUUAAUCUAUUCAUAUCUUUAUCAUGUUUAUUUAUGUUUACAUCGCUUAUAUGGUCAUCUGAGGUCAAAUAGAUAGGUAAUCAGAUGGGUCUGUACUAAAAUACACACGAAAUGAACCUGUAUAUUAUCUACCCCAUGCUCUUUAAACUGUUUAUUUUAGACUUUUGAUAGUUUGGAUAAAUGUUUUACAUUGUUAUAAAUGAAAUAUGAGAAUUUGAGUCAAAUCGGUGACCUUGAAUUUGACAGCUAGUGCCCCUUUAAUUUAUUAUACUGAAUGUCCUUUCAUUAUUGCCUUUAACAGAUGAGUUUUAUUCAAAAGUAUUUUCUAUGACGUCACGUACAUAACAAUGUCACAGGUAUUAUAAAAAUAAGUUUUAUUUUGAGUCAAGUAUUGGCCUAACAAAAUAUGGCAUUUAAGCGUGAAGUAUAAUAAAUUCUUUUAUUACAUAUGGUGUACAUAGCAGUCUAGGAAGGAAGUGCCACAGCAGACGAAAAGGAAAUUUGCAAGUUUAUCACUGAAUAUUUCCGGAAUUUUAUAUUUUAAAUGUAGAUGCUGAGAAUACAAGAAACCUAAUGCAACAAGCUAUGAAGUAGUUCAAAGAAUAUUGAUAUUUUCAAUAAGGCCUAGAUUAAUAUAUUGUUUGUUUCCCCAAUCCUGACCCUGCCAAGCCAGGUGUAGGUAGGUAGGUGGGGAAAUAAUUUUAUUUUCCCCAAAAAGCUGGAACAAAAUCGGUUGAUCGGGCAAGCCUGAAAAUCAGAAAUGAAUAAAAUAAUAUUUGACUUAGUUUUGACAAUAAAAUUUUGUGAGUCGGACCCAUUAGUUCAUGCAGGGUUGGUCCGAAUUGGGGAAAAAACAAUAUUUUAUUUUUGGCCCAACAUGUUAAAAUUCUUGCAAAAUACAAUUCAAAAAUACACAGAAAGAAUAUUGAAGCCAUUUUCCCAAUACACAAUGUACAUUAUUGACAUGUUUUAAAUGUAUAUAUAACAUGUAUAAAUUAAGGUCUUUCACUCAGUCAAUACCUUAUAUAUAUGGACCUAGUUAAAAGUCCAUAAUUGAUAACUACAGGCAUAUUAUAUAAUUUUGAUUAAAUGAGAUGUAGGAACAUUUUAAAAAUAUAUAAUCUUGAACGCAGAUCAAGUUGGAAUAGACUAUUUUCAUAUUACUGACUUUUGACUCCUGUUUUUAUCAUUUUUCAACAGGUAAACUAUGACAUCCUGGUACUUGGUCAAUUAAGAGCAACAUAAAGAAGUAACAUCAAACAUUUAAUCAGCACAAUUCUUUGGGAAAAUAUACUGCUUCAUAUUUUCUUUACACAAAAAACUCAUCUGAAAAUAGUAAAAUAUCCCCUUAAAUCACACUAAUUAAAUCAAGGAUCUGGAAAUUUUUUCAUCUAAUUUGCUCAUUUUGAGAUAACUUAAAAAUUGAUGCCCCUUUUCAAAAGAAGAUUGUCAAAAUCACAUUACUGAGCAUGCUCAUACUCGUAGCCUCAACGAACUUGUUUUACUGUUGCUUGCAUCACAUUCACUUCAUGAACUUUCCUACCAUUUUCCUAAAAUCGUUCAAGAGCAAUCAAGGGAAGGCAACAGUUUAAAAUGAAAUGAUUUUGAUGACUCAAAACCAUAAAUUUCUCAGACAAGGCUUUUUUUUCUUUUGAUUUGGAAGUCAAAAUUGAAACUGGAUGUUUUGCGAAAUUCUAAAACGAGCAAUUCCAGACUCAUUUCUGGGUUUAGUAUUUUUUUAUCAAAUUCACAGGAAAUCAUCGGCUUUUUAAUUUUUUUACCUUUGAUAGGGUUUGAAUAUGAAUGAUAAUAGUUGCAAUUGCUUUAUUUAGCAUUAAAUCAUUUUGAAUUUACAAUUUUAGUGUCUAAUCUGUGGAAGAGAAUUUCAAGCAUGCAUAUUACAUACAUGUAGUAAACAAAGCACAUGUGUUAGAAGUGACAAAAUACUUUUUUCUACGUAAAUUAAAUCAAAUUUUAAAUCAGAAUUGACCAUUGUCUUAGCUUAAAAGUAAUUAAAUAAUGAAGACAGCUGUUAUGGAAUUUUGAUUUCUUUAUAAUAUUAGUUCUGAGCUUGUGAUCAGUAGCCAGGUGUGAAUUAAAAACGUUUCUGCAAAUUUAGCAAAAAUCCAGUUUUACGUUUCUGCUUGUUUGUGCAUUACUUUUCUGCAAAAAAAUAGACACUACAUAUCCGCAUUUUUACCUGUAUUUCACCUGUAAAAAUGGUAAUAAUGGUAUAUAAGACUUUAUUUUAUCAAAGUAUUUUUUUGGAAAAUGACGCUUUCAGCGGCAUGUUUCCGAUACUAGUGAACUGAACUUCCAUUAUAUUUCUCUGCCUACUGCGCUUGGUUCGUAUUUACUUCCAUUACAUUUCUCCGUCUACCGCGCUUGGUUUCGUAUUUACUAUUUUACAUAUAAACUGGAAUUUGCUUGUAUUAUCAUUUUUGUGUAGUAAUCAACCGGGAACCAGCUUACAUACCUCCGGUCCUUCUUAUUACCAAAAAAGAUCGAAGUAUACCAACCAAUGUUGUUAGAUACUCAUAAUUUUUUUAUAACUUUAUUGAUUAUGUGAAGUAAAACUAAAACAUUGUUAAAACAUUAAAGAUAUAUAAUUAAUCGGGGAAAACUUGAUAGUCUUUUCUUUUUACGAACAACUGCCUUUUUUUAUAAGAAAAUAUAAUGUGUCCGUGUUGGUCUCCACUUUCUACUGGUUAUAAGACAGAUCGAUGUACCGGAAAUCCGACUCAUCUUUGUUUACAAAGUUACAACAGUAGAGUCUGUAACAGACUGUAUCUGUAUGACAUGUGAAUAAAUGUCGAUAUUUGAUGCUGGCUUGAAUACAACGGUUUUAUUGGCGGGGCGGAGAACAGAUUUGAAGCUCUCUAUUUCGAUGCGUGCACAACAGUGUCGUCUAGCUGAUUUGGCGCGAUCACUGUCUUACGGAACAUCUAGUCAAAUCGGGCACUUGUUAAAUCCGCACCUGGUUAAUUCGCACCCGGUAUAGUCAAAUUGGCACCUGGUUAAAUCGGCACUUGAUAUAGUCAAUUCGGCACCCAGUUAGAAUUUGUUUAGAUAUUUUCAUAUUUUAAGCAAAAACAGUAGAAAUAAGGAAUGGUUGUCACAGAAAUUUUACAGUAUUACCCAAGAAGAGUUAGAUAAGGAAGGGUUGGGCCAGAAAUAUUAACCUAAUUGAUACUCUUUAUUGCACAUUUUUAAAGAUUGAAUUAUAUAUAUUAUUGAUGCCUAAUUGACUUUAAAUAGGUCGAUUUGACUAGAUGUCGAUUACCAGGUGCCAAUUUAGACUUUUUCUAUUGGUGCCGAAUUUGACUUACCCUAUUAUCAAGACAUAUGAUACACAUGGUGUUUAUUAUAUUCUCUGCACCUAUUAUAAGGCCCUAAAGUGAGUUUGAAUAUGUACGGUGUUUUACUUGCGUGGAAUUCAAUACACUCACAGUAAGAGUUAUUCUUUACUUGCUUUUCCACAAUGAAUUGUUGCAUGGUAUUCUUUGAAUUUGCUCGGCAGAUAUGCUUCCUUCCGGAAUGUUUAAGAGGAAUUCGUCUGGUCAAUAGCCGUUGAAUCAGUCCCUCAACAUCUUUGUACAAAAAUACUAAGCUUGGCUUCAAUGCCUUGGUCGUCUUUGUCUGGAUCUUGUUGUAGUUCCAGUUGCAAGCAUUUGGAGACUUAUUCCAGUCCUCUUUUGACUUAAUCUCUGGUGAUAAAUUUUGCCGCGCUUUGACAUGUUUAUUUCAGUACCGAGUAGGGCGUUGCAUAUGAUAGCUCCAUAUUAAAUUAUGAGAUUCAAUUCCUUAAGCGUCUAGUUCAUUAUCCAAUCUUACACAAAUUUAAUAACUGGAAUGCCACCCAAGAUGGAAAUAUGGUUUACCUCUAGAAUAGCAUAAUUACUUAAUUUGUGUUUAAUACCAUGAUGUUCAAUGGCAUUAACUUAAAUGAGACAAAUUUAACAGAAGAUUUGUGGAUUAGUGUAAAAUAAAAAAAAUUAGCUUUACUAUGAUAUAUGGUAAAGAAUAGAGAUAUCAUUAAUUGGAGUAUAGGGCACGAGUUUGUUAUAAAAUAUCAAGUAUGGCAGAGAAGUGGUUUCAAGUACACUAGUAAAGGGACCUGAUGAGCACAUGAAAUAAAAAUCAAGGAGUAUCCCUAUUUGUCUAAUCUUCAAUGCCGAAAUAAAACAAGUAUAACAAUAUUGUGUAAAUCUACAGAAAUAGAAUUUGCUUCAAGUAACAGAAAUUAUUAACUACAUUUGUGUAUGUCACUAGUAACUAUUUAAUAAUGAGUAUGUGGGUAAUUAGUCCUAUAACAUAUGACUUCAGGAGCAUUAUUUUACUAUUUCUAUUUUACUGUUUUGAUUUUUUUUUUUAACUAUCAAUGGUGUCACACUUUGCAUGCAAAAAUUUAAAAAAAAAUGAAAAAUCAGUAUAAAAAACGUUUAAAAAUUGAAUAGAAUGCGAAGUCAUAGGUUAUAUGGAUAGUGGGGUUAAAGCCUUAUUACAACAGGCUCGUUCAUAAUCAAUUGGUUUGAUAAAGGAUACUAUAGUCUGUAUUCUGAUUUAGAAAAAUGUAAUUGCAAGAAAGAAAAAAAUACACGAUUACUUAGAAUUCUUUAGAUCAUAUCAGUAGUCUUUAUUUAGUACGUACAAAAGAACAGCCAGUAGUCAUUGGAUAUUGUAGAUCAUAUAAAUAGUCUUGACCUAUUUAUUACUACAAAAGCAACAGCUAAGUGAUCAUUGGAAUUGUAUAUCAUUCCAGUAUUCUUAGACCUAUUUAGCUGUACAAAAAAAACAGACAGUAGUCAUUGAUUACUGUAGAUCAUUCAGGUAGUCUCUGACCUAUUUAUUUGUAAAAAAAAACAAAAACAGCCAGUGUAAUUGGAUACUGUAGAUCAUUUAGGUAGUCUUGACUCUUGACCUAUUCAUUUGAUAUUAAAAAAAAACCAGUCAGUUGUCAUCUUCACUUCACACACUCAUAUACGAAUAUCAAUUAUAUGCUACCAAGACAUGUUGCAAUGUUCAACUUGUUACGGUAUACAUGUGAAAAUCAAGACUUGCAUAAAAAAUAUCCCAAUUAGAGGCAGUGGCGUCAUUUUUCCUCAGAGCUAUUCAGCUCUUUGAUUUAGUUUGAAUUGUUUCACACUUUUCAUGUCUGCCUUUCUAGACGACUUUACAGUAUCGGGUUUGUCAUUGAUGAAGGCCUAAAGGUUGCCUAUGAUUGCUCGCAUCCACUUCACACUGAUCUGAACUCUGAUGAAAUAUUUGUGACUGGGCAAAAAAAAUAUAGUAACAAACAAACAAACAAUGAAUCAAUUUACAAUAAAAAACAAAAAAAUAGACAUUAGCGAUAUAUCAAGACGAAUAAUAAUUCCGGAAUAACCCAAUAAUGGGGAAAAGAGUACCGGUACUACAAAAAUGCGAAAAUUUUUAUGCGGAAAAGUAGUGCCAAAUUGCGUAACAUAAAAUGCUGUUAAAACACAGGUAAAGAGAUUAGGGAUCAUUAGCCAAUAUUUCCCAAAGGCAUAUAUAUAGUUAUGAGGAGGGCCCUCAGGAUUAUAACACUAUACUGUAGUGGCAGUUUUAUUACAGGAAAUGGUGAUUUAGAAACUCAAUCUCAACGAAAGGAUUGAAAUUAUUUCUGUUAAAAAAUAAAAUUUGUCCUAAGUCCCAAUUCUACAUUUAGGACAAACACUUUAAGUAAGACCAGUAUGACAAUUAUGACUGUUUACGGACCCUUGGAUUAAAUGUUUGAUGUUACUUUUUUACGUUGCUCAUAAAUGAAUGAGUACCAGGAUGUCGUAGGUAACCUGUUGAAAAAUAAUAUAAACUGGAGUCAAAAGUCAGUAAUAUGAAAAUAGUCUAUUUUUUGGCAUCUUUUUUACCCUUGUAGAGUUAUGCCCCUUUACAAAUGGAAAAAUUGCUGAAUUUUUGGUUUCUGUUCCCAAACUUUAGUUUUCCUCAAUCAAAUGUUAUGAAAUUUAUACACAAUGCUUAUUACAUUAGUGUACCACAAAACACAGAUCAAGUUUGUAUUUUGGUGACGUCACUUUUACAGUUCGAGAAUUAUGCCCAUUUACAAAUAGAAAAAUUACUGAAUUUUGUUUCCGUUCUCUAACUUUAGUUUGCCUCUACCAAAUGUAAUGAAACUUAUUCACAAUGCUAAUUACCACAAAACGCAGAUGAAGUUUGAAUUUUGGUGGGGUCAUUUUUACUGUUCUAAAGUAAGUCCCUUUUACAAAUGGAAAAAUUGCUGAUUUUUUGUUUCUGUACUCAAACUAAGUUUGUCUCAACUAAAUGUUAUGAAACUUAUAAACAAUGCUGAUAACCACUAAACUCAGAUCAAGUACAAAUUGGGGUAAAGUCACUUUUACAGUUCUUGAGUUAUGUCCUGUUAUAAAGUUAUAUGCAAGCAGGGGCAUUUUUCCUUCCUUAUUUAUUGUAUAAUAUUUGUUUGAAUCAAGUAAGACCAGAAAUGUUACUUUGUAUCAUGUGUAUCAUUAUCUGAGGUUCCUCAAAUAAUUGAUAAAUAAACCAAGCAUUUAUAAACAUUGUUUCAAAGAAGUCAUUAUCAUCAUUAUAUGAUUAUAUGUACUGUCAUAUUGUAAUUCACCUCCUUAUGUCUGAAAUGUGUGAAUUAAUUAAAAACAAUUUAUCUCCAUAUUUCCUACUUACUCAUGAAAACAAACAUCAUAUUCAUAUCAUGUACAUGCUGAUGCUGUAUAAUCACAAUCACUCCCACUUAUAUGGAUUUAAAAUAAAUUAAUGAAUGUUCCUCCGAUAUUAAUAUGCUAUGAUGUCAUCAUCGAUGUAAGUUUAACCCUUUCCUCCAUUGACAUUUUUUUUACACAUACCUGAUUCGCAUAGGAUUUUCAAUUAAAAAAAAUCAUCAGGUUUAAAGUAUUCAAUGCAUUGCAAAAAGAUAUUUUUCAUCAUGAAAUUCCAGUCAAGAGUAUCUCGAUAGAAAUUCAUUUUAUAUUAGAUACAAAUUUUAUUAGGUCUGCAAUUAAAGAUUUUUCCUAGGUAAGAUGUUUCAACUGAAGCACUACACAGGCGUCAAAAGGCGUCAUUAUGGAGUAAAGGGGUGGCGUCAAAAAGCAUCAUUAUGGAGGAAAGGGUUAAGUAAAUGAAUCUAAAUGAAAUUUUACAGGAAGGGUCAAUACCACAGAAAAAAGGUUUGGAUUGCUAUUGGGGGUAAUGGUACUUGCAGUUUAGGAAUAAGGGACUAUAAAGGGGCCAAAACAAGCAUUUUUGUAGUUUCCUGACUAUAACCUGUGUGUUAGUGUAUGGUUAUUUCUGAUAUUGUACCACAAGGUUCCAUAGAUCACAAAAGGAAGGCUGGGAUUGAGUUUUGUUGUAAUUGCUUCAAACAAGUGAGAAUCAGGGACAAAAAAUGCGACAAAAAAAAGAGAGCAUUUUUCUAGUUUCCAAAGAAUUACUUGUGUUUGAGUCUAUUGAUCUGUCUAAAAUUGUACUACAAGGUUUCAUACUACAAAGGGUUCGAAGGCUUGGAUCAAGCUUUUAUCAAAAUUCGAAAAAAAAAUUAAGAUCUUUCACCUCAUUUAUUUUGUGUUAGAAACCUAUACCUUGUCAAAAAUAUGAUCACAAUCCAAAUUCAGACCGUAUCAAGCUUGAAUAUUAUAUCCAUAUUUGCUCCAACUGUUUAGAGUUUGACCUCUGCGGUCAUAUCAAGCUGCACUCAGCAAAGUGUUUUAUUUAUAAUGUUAGCAAACAAUAACAACAAUGAAAGGGUAGACUGUAGACAGACAGAAUCUUAUUUUUCUUUCUUUUUACAAAGAUUUGAAAAAGUUAAUUAGCAUAUCAGCUUUUCUUAACUCUUUAUUGAUUUUUCUAAUGAAGUCGAACACUGAAUUCUUCAAUAUAAAACCUACUGUAGCUACAUAUUAUGUUCUUAUAAAAAAAAUUCAUAGAAAAAUCCAAUUUUUCUCAAUAAAAGAUUGUGUUCUACAAAUAGAUUCACUGGACUAUGGCUUUCUAAACUUUUGACCCUGAGCAUGUCUGAUGAAAAUUUAUCUAAUGAAAUCUCAUCAAACCCAGAAAUUCACUGUUGUUUCUUGAACUGAAAGUCGCAAUUAAGUCAGAGGAGACUGUUGUUCAGUGGUUGUCAUUGGUUCAUGUCUGUCUUGCGUUUUUCAUAAAUUGUUUUGUUAUGGAUAAGGUCGAUUGUUUUCUUGUUUUAUUUGUAUUUCAUUUUAUGAAAUUUUAUAGCCGACUAUAACAAUUGCCUUUUUCUCAUUGUUGAAGACUGUACAGAUGCCUUUAUUUGUAGUUAUUGUGUUUUUCUUCAUGUAAGUAGUUUUAUAAAAAAAAAAAUGUUUUCGAUUUUGUAGGUGAUGAGAAAUGCAAAGGUUAUGGAUAUGUCACAUUUUCUCUGAUGUAAG
rnacentral:lncRNA from 1 species